UUUCGAUUAUUCGCUUCUUGAAGAAAUCUUCGGUGACAUUGAAUGCCUUAACCGUCAACUUAUAGACGCCGAAAAACAACUUUCUCGAUUUUUUAAGAUUUUAUCUAUUAAACGGGAAAACAAUUUUUGCGAUCUCCAGUGGUGCCAUUGCCAAGUGGAGCACCUUAUUGAAAGGAGGGCAAAGUUAUUAGCGGACAUCCAACAGUUAUCCGUAGGGAGCUUCCAGUAAAAAUAUUGAAGAGUUCAGAUUUUGGGGGAUCAUUAAGCCGGUGUGCCAACUGCUUAUUUAAAAAAGGAGAUCAAGCUCGUUUAUAAGGAAUCAAAAAUGUUUAUGUGUGAAAAAUGUAAUAAAUCAUUCGCUACUAAUAGCAAUCUUCGACGCCAUCUCAAAAAGUCAUGUAGAGCUCAAGAACCAUCUCCAAAGAAGCUCAAAGUUGCACACGAUACCCAGAG